ACCGAGAUAGUGUUAGCUGGUUAGCACGCUUGAUUGUGGAUCAGGAAGGAUAGGUUCAAAUCCUAUACUCGGGACCA
rnacentral:tRNA from 1 species